UUCUUUUGUUUGCUUCCAGAAGAUUUCUUUUCGUCGCUUUACAUAUCUCUCUUCUUUGUAGUUUCUUCGUUAUCACCGAAAAGCAAAAGGAAGAUGUUGCAGCUUAAUCCGUAUCCCCAUCAAUCUCCAACUUCCUCCUCUUUCACGGUUUUUUAGCAAUUGUAGAUAAGAAACAAUAUCUCAUCAUCUUCUUCAAUAAAAAAAUCUUGAUUGAUUUUUCGAAGAUGGCGUGUGAUCAAACGAACGAUGAUGAUAAAGAUUCAGAACCGUUCGUUGAAUUAGAUCCAACUGGUAGAUAUGGGAGAUACUGUGAUCUAUUAGGUACUGGUGCAGUAAAGAAGGUGUACAGAGCUUUUGAUCAAGAAGAAGGGAUAGAAGUUGCUUGGAAUCAAGUUUUCUUGAAUAGUUUCAGUGGUGAUGAGAUGAUGAUCGAUCGGCUUUUUGCUGAAGUUCGAUUACAUCGGUCUUUGAGAGAUGAUAAUAUAAUUGCUUUUUACAAUCAUUGGACUGAUGAUAAACAGAAUACGUUGAAUUUCAUCACAGAAAUUUGUACUUCUGGUAAUCUGAGAGAAUAUCGUAAGAAACAUCGCCAUAUUUCUCUCAAAGCUUUGAAGAAAUGGUGUAGACAGAUUCUUAGAGGUUUAGAAUAUCUCCAUACCCAUGAACCCUGUAUCAUUCACAGAGAUCUCAAUUGCAGUAAUAUCUUCAUUAAUGGAAAUGUCGGUCAGGUGAAGAUAGGGGAUUUGGGUUUAGCGGCAAUGGUAGGAAAAAAUCAUUCAGCACAUUCAGUACUUGGAACACCAGAAUUUAUGGCACCAGAAUUAUAUGAUGAGAAUUACACAGAGAUGGUUGAUAUCUACUCAUAUGGAUUAUGUGUGUUAGAAUUGGUGACACUGGAAUUACCCUACCUCAAGCUUACUGCAGGAAUAAGGCCUCAAGCUAUGAACAAAGUGAAACACCCAGAGGUGAAAGAAUUCAUCGAAAGAUGUCUCGCUAAACCUAGAGCCAGACCUUCUGCUUCAGAAUUACUGCGUGACCCUUUCUUUGAUGGACUUGAUGAUGACGAAGAAGUAGAUGUUAGUUUUUAGUUAGUUCAUUGAUUUAGAGCAAGGAAAGAAGGUUAGAUAGCCUGUUUUUUUUUGUACAUAGUAGGUUGCUUUUCCAGUUUAUAUAAAUGGGUACAGGUUUACCUUGAACUUGUGUCGUCAAGGGAUUUAAUUCUUUUCCAAUGAGUGUACUUGGUGUACACUGCUUGCAGAAACUAGGCAAAUCAAACCUUAAUUUGUUCCCAAGAGAACCACAUACUACUCCAACUUUCCAAGUUUUAGGCAACAAAAGGGUGAGAAACAUGAGGUUUGGUCGCAUGCAUGACUGCAUUUAUAAAAAUUUAUAUCCUUGCCUUUGCAGGUAAAAUGCUCCGAGUGACCACUUGCUUAACGGAUCCAGGACCACUUGCAAGCCUAGAAGCAAACAUGAUGUCAGUACAUAAAUACACACUAAAGACACCCAGGCUGAAACUUGAACCUGCAAGAAGUCGCACAUAACAGAAACAAAGUCAUGAAAGGUUCUGCAUAAAGAUGAACUUCUCAUCAAGCUAGAUAGACAUUUAAGAUGCGGAUAAGUUUUUAGUUGAUGCAGAUAAGUUUUUAUUUGAUCAAUCCUAACCAGCAGUUGCAUGGUUCUUCGAUGAGUUGAUAGUACCAGAGACAUGAAAUAGUAUCAGUUAAGGAUCAGAUAUACGAAGUAAUUCAUCUCAUAAUGUACCAAAUACUAACCACAAAUGAUGUACUUACAGACACUAAAAUUGAACAUUCAAAUACAGAACCCAGGUUUAA